GUCUUAACCGGGCGUUAAGUUGCAGGGUAUAGACCCGAAACCCGGUGAUCUAGCCAUGGGCAGGUUGAAGGUUGGGUAACACUAACUGGAGGACCGAACCGACUAAUGUUGAAAAAUUAGCGGAUGACCUGUGGCUGGGGGUGAAAGGCCAAUCAAACCGGGAGAUAGCUGGUUCUCCCCGAAAGCUAUUUAGGUAGCGCCUCGUGAAUUCAUCUCCGGGGGUAGAGCACUGUUUCGGCUAGGGGGCCAUCCCGGCUUACCAACCCGAUGCAAACUGCGAAUACCGGAGAAUGUUAUCACGGGAGACACACGGCGGGUGCUAACGUCCGUCGUGAAGAGGGAAACAACCCAGACCGCCAGCUAAGGUCCCAAAGUCAUGGUUAAGUGGGAAACGAUGUGGGAAGGCCCAGACAGCCAGGAUGUUGGCUUAGAAGCAGCCAUCAUUUAAAGAAAGCGUAAUAGCUCACUGGUCGAGUCGGCCUGCGCGGAAGAUGUAACGGGGCUAAACCAUGCACCGAAGCUGCGGCAGCGACACUCAGGUGUUGUUGGGUAGGGGAGCGUUCUGUAAGCCUGCGAAGGUGGCCUGUGAGGGUUGCUGGAGGUAUCAGAAGUGCGAAUGCUGACAUAAGUAACGAUAAAGCGGGUGAAAAGCCCGCUCGCCGGAAGACCAAGGGUUCCUGUCCAACGUUAAUCGGGGCAGGGUGAGUCGACCCCUAAGGCGAGGCCGAAAGGCGUAGUCGAUGGGAAACGGGUUAAUAUUCCCGUACUUGGUGUUACUGCGAAGGGGGGACGGAGAAGGCUAUGUUGGCCGGGCGACGGUUGUCCCGGUUUAAGCGUGUAGGUGUGUGUUCCAGGUAAAUCCGGUU
rnacentral:rRNA from 1 species